rnacentral:misc_RNA from 1 species
CCUAGAGUUGUAGGCUUUGCCUGCUAUCUCUUACCCAUGUCUUUUGAGUACCUUACGUUUCCUCGGUGGGUUCGCCCACCGAUUGGACAAACUAAACCCUUUGCAGUUGAAAUCAGCGUCUGAAAAAAACUUAAUAGUUA